rnacentral:tRNA from 1 species
GGGAGAUAGCUCAGCAGUGAAGAGCACUUGUUGCUCUUCCAAAGGACCUGGGUUCAAUUCCCAGCUCCCA